rnacentral:tRNA from 1 species
GAGAGGUGUCCGAGUGGUCGAAGGUGCCUGACUCGAAAUCAGGUGUGGCUAAUAACCACCGGGGGUUCGAAUCCCCCUCUCUCC